rnacentral:lncRNA from 1 species
GGCCGCAUGGGAACUGAAUCAAGUCCACACAGAGAGCACUGAGCUCAGCGUCGGAGUGUGAAAGCCAGGCCUCUGCUGUGAGCUUCCUGCUGCCUGGGUGGCUGGAAGUUGCUGCUAGCUGGGGAGAGGGACAGAGCGAUGGGGGAAGACAGGCCCCAGGACCGGACCGGCACUCAGAACCAGCGCCUUCCGGCUGCAGACCUUGUCCCUGAGAAUAAAAUCAGUCACACCGCUUUCCUAACUGCAAACCGUGUCUUCAAGGUACUCUAAACCCAGCCCGGAGGGACCUCAUCCCCCCUGCAGCGGAGACAGAAGCUCUGCGCCCCAAGUCCCCCCAGGUUGGGCAGAGAGGAGAGCUCAGGGGCCCAGGGACUUGCAGAAUGGAGCAGGCUGGGAAGCCCCUGCAGGCUGGGGAUGGGGGCGGCAGAUUGCUGGGCCCCCCUUAGAGUUUCGGCUCAGCAAGCCUGGGGGUGGGAGUUGGCCUCGCUCAAUGCCCUCUAAGUGUGAGCAACAGCGACAUCUGGUGGUGAGGACUGGAAGGAACCCGAGCCACCAGCCAGCUGGGGUGACAGGACCCACAGGUGGGGGCCUAGGAGCCUGUCCCGCAGGGUGCAGGAGAGAGAGGCUCACAGCACCAGGCCCCUGUGUGCCUCACUACCCUAGACACGGGCAAACCUAAUUCUGGGCUGCAGAACGUGUAUCUUUAUUUCAGAAUACAGCAGACCCUCAACUUAGGACCGUCCUGACAUACGAACAACUUCGUUACUUAGGUUAAUGGAAGACUCACUCAUCUGCCUCUUGCUAUCUAUAGUGUGUGCCCAGGUAAACAUCCAGAUUUCAGCCGUACUGAUUUACAACCACCUUGAGUUACAACCAGACCUUGGGGACUGACCAAGGCUGUGAGUCAAGGUUGCACUAUGUUGAUUCUUAUUUUUGUGAAUCACUUUCUUCCCUGGUGAAGAAAGCCCUGCAGGAUGAAGGCCUGGAAGUGCCCAGCUGGGGAUGGUUUGGCGCCCGAGCCAGGAGCCAGGAGCCAGGAGCCGGAAGUCCGACUCCGUGCCCAGGGCGGAGGGGUGUUUCCCGCACAGACUGUUACCCCUGUUGGUUCCGCAUCAUCUUGGCUUCCGACCGACAGGGCUCAGGGAGUGAUCUGGGGGCAGGCAGAGAAACAAGCGGUGAUUCCUGCUGGCCACGGCGGUGCCACCUGCAGCAGGAGGUCCAGGCCUAGCGACCGCCAAGGUGCAGGCAUCUCAGCAGCCAGGAAGAGCGGACCCCAUGGCACACGGCCCAGGCCCGCAGGGUGCACAUCUGCCACGGGGUCUCUGUGUCCUUGCUGUGUGCUCCCCAGGCUGGCCCCGCUGAGCCCAAGGAGCAGCAGGCGGCUCAGGUGGGUGAAAGAGACAAGCAGUGGGCACUGGUGAGGGAAGUGGGGUCGUGGGCGUAGGGGGCGAGUUCCCACCCCGCGCUCUUUGGACGCCGUCAAGAUGGUUGCGACUGCACCUGUUUCCCUGCCGUAGGUGGUGCUGCUGGACAAGAUCGGGAGACAGGAGUUACUUCACGUGGUACUCAACGCAUCCCUUCAGUGCGCACUGGGACUUUCUCAGGCUGGGGGUGCCACUCGGAGCUGGAGGGGUAGCUCAGCGAGGCCUGCACAAGGCCCUGGGGUUGAUCCCCAGCACUAAAAAACAAACAAACUAACUAACUUGCCUAGAACAUGGCA